rnacentral:rRNA from 1 species
UACAGAGGUCUCAAGCGUUGUUCGGAGUUACUGGGCGUAAAGGGUGCGUAGGCGGUUGUUUAAGUUUGGUGUGAAAUCUCCCGGCUCAACUGGGAGGGUGCGCCGAAUACUGAAUGACUAGAGUGCGGGAGAGGAGAGUGGAAUUCCUGGUGUAGCGGUGAAAUGCGUAGAUAUCAGGAGGAACACCGGUGGUGUAGACGGCUCUCUGGACCGUAACUGACGCUGAGGCACGAAAGCGUGGGUAGCAAACAGG